rnacentral:lncRNA from 1 species
AGAUGGUGAAGCCAUUAGCUGAGAUUGAUCACGAAGGACGAGGUACUUAGUGUCUCUCUUUUAAUAACGUUUUCUUCAAGCUUACCUGGGUUGAAGUCUUUUAAUAAAUUCACAAUCUAUCUAUCUGUUGUAGAGGGAUCACCUAGAGGCAGAGGAAGAAGAGGCAGGGGAAGGGGAGGAAGGGGAAGAGGUGGCAGAGGUAAAAAUUGCUUUAGCAAUUUUGCUAUUAAAAAUCUUAGUUUCACCGGAGCUGGUUCCAAGUUUUUGAUUUGAUUGUGGUAUUUCUUGUCGGGAUAUAUCAGGAGAUGGACAUGUGAACGUUCAGUAUGAUGACGGAGGUAUGGAGCCUGAGCGGCCAUCUGGCAGAGGAAGAAGAGGGCGAGGAAGAGGAGGUGCACGUGGUGGUGAUGGAAGAGGAGGUUACAAUGGUCCUCCACCUUACUAUGAAGCCCAACACGAUGGAGGAGAAUACGGAUACAAUGGUCCUCCUCCACAUAAUCAUGAGUAUGAUGAUGGAGGUAUGGAGCGUGAGCGGCCAUAUGGUAGAGGAAGAGGGCGCGGGAGAGGAGGUGCACGUGGUGGUCGUGGAAGAGGAGGUUACAAUGGUCCUCCACCUUACUAUGAAGCCCAACAAGAUGGAGGAGAGUAUGGAUACAAUGGUCCUCCUCCACAAGAUCAUGGAUAUGAUGCUCCUCCUCAGGGCCGUGG